CUCUACUGCCUAGUUUUUUGGUUGCCCUCGCUCGGACCUUUCUGAUUUCUAGUUUUAUGUGAUCUUUUGAGAGAAAAGUUUGUGUUGUAAGCAAGAAAAGUUGAGUGUUGUAAGAUGGAAGUGGGGAAUUUCUGUCUUCUCUGUGAUUUGUUUGUGCUUUUUUUCUUCUUGAAUUUCUGUGCUACUUUUCUGCACUGGUUUGUUUGUGUGCAGGGCUCGGGUUGUAUUUCUUUCCUUUUCUUUUGUCAUUCGCUCACUCUCCAUUGACAACACAGACAACCUCUCUCUUAUCUCUCCCUCGUUCCCGCUUGAUGAGCGACACAGAGCUUCACUCGACUUCCACUUGAAACCCUUGUCAUCAUUUCUUCUUAUUCUCCUUCCCUAAAACCCUAAAUCUUUCUACCAAACCCCAUUAUCACCACCAUCUCUCAUGGCUCGAACCAACAACUCGGCCAAACUUCUUUCCCUCCGAUGAGUUGCCAGUCAACGAGACAUUCAGCAGAGUUUCGCCUCCAUAGCUAAAGGUUACAGCUCCGAAGGAAAGCAGCUACAGUGGAUGGAGGAACUGGAAUGCAUGUUGAUGUUGGUCACUGCUUUUGUUGAAUGUUGAUGAAACUGAUUUAUAAGGAUGCUUAAGACUGUGACGGUCAGUAAGAUGAUGCUUGAUUACAAAUUUCUGAUCUCUGUUUUAUUAUUUACCCCAUUAUUUUCAAAGAUAAUACUACAUCUUCUACUCCAGCCUCAAGAUUUUGUUACAGGACUAGAUCUAUUUAGUUGCAUGCCAACUACUUUGAUCGAGUGGUGUACCAAUUACUCAACUUGAUGGAGGAAAUUCUGGCCUUGCUCUCGCUAAGACCAAGAUCUCUAAUCUAUUAGAAAUUUUGAUUGUAAGUUUCCUAUUCACAUUCUUCAAAUUUAUUUUUCUAUUUGCAUACUAAGAUAGUUUUGGAGUUUUUUUGCAUAUGCUUCAUUCAUUUCAUGUAUGGCAAAGCGAGGACAAAAAGUUAACAUGUUUAAGGAUAUGGAUCUCUUGUUCAUUGAUAAGUUUAUUUCCACAGUUGAUAAACAUAUAAGCAUAUGUUAAUAUUUAACCUUUAUAGAUCCCAUUUUCUAUCUCGAAAUUGAUAGAUUUUGGAGUUGGUGUAUCUGUUCCAACUAAGCAACUGUUGAAAAGUGUUGUUCUAACAUUCUUGGUUAGUCCCCUUGACAUGGGAGGUAAUUGAUUUAUUUCUAUUUUAUAUGCUAUUAUGCCUUGUGUAUUUAUCUAUGUUUCAGUAUACAAAUAAUUAAAAAAACAUUUUUUCUCAUUUUGUUUUUGUUUACCGAGAUUUUCGGAAACUAUAUUAAUGAAUACUAUUAUAGGGGUAAUGAUAAGAAAAGCAGAAGAUUAACACGGGAUUUUUUUACGUGGUUGGAGCGUUAAUGAGCCUUAGUCCACGAGUCAGUAGUAUUAAAGCUUGGAAAGCCUUUUACAAUGGAGUUUCUCUCUAUAUUUCGACAGGGUAACUGUAUCUUAGUUUUUUUUUUUUUUUUUAGAGAGAUCCUUUUUCCAGUGUUCUAUUACCUGUAUUUAUAGGCUCAUGGGAACACUGGGUCUGGGUCCGGGUAUGACCCGGGCCCAUCAGAGAUAUGGAUACUCUUGAUCUCUCUAGUGGAGGCCUGAUAUAAAAGAUAAAACCUACAUGAAUUCCAGACCAGUUAAGGCCCAAUAAGUUAGCCCAAGAGCUAUAUUUCGCCCGACAAAACGGUGCUUUUGGUUUGGACAUUUCGAGUUACGAGGCAGAUUCAGGAGACAAGACCAGUCAGAGUACUUGGCAGCGCAGAUCUGAAACAACGGCGUGCAAUCCCGAGGUGACCUUUUCUGCAGGUGAAAAGUAGGGACAACGCCCACGCGGAGUGGGGCGGCUUUAGGGUCCUGGACGCUUGGUCCCACCAACCGGGGACGAUGUGAUCCGGGUUCGUUUACCUUUGUCCCUCUUCAUUUACCACAGGCCCGGACCGUUACCAGGGUCCGGGACCAGGACGCGCAUGUCGUGGGGGUUCGAACUGUCUGCACGCCUCCCGGAUGACUGUCCCGGAUGACGAUCCCGGACCUCCUCGUGGGCCCAUAAUUGCACCCAGGCCCGUGCCUCCUUGGACAUUCCUGUACCAAGAGGCCUUGGGCCGGGCCCACAUUUCGAACAGCCCCUGACCAUGGGCCUGGACAAAGCAUUCAGGUCCAUGCAGGAAAUGGGGAUAACAGUUUUA